AGAGAUGCACUGGGCGUAAAGCGUGCGCAGGCGGUUUUGUAAGACAGAGGUGAAAUCCCCGGGCUCAACCUGGGAACUGCCUUUGUGACUGCAAGGCUGGAGUGCGGCAGAGGGGGAUGGAAUUCCGCGUGUAGCAGUGAAAUGCGUAGAUAUGCGGAGGAACACCGAUGGCGAAGGCAAUCCCCUGGGCCUGCACUGACGCUCAUGCACGAAAGAGUGGGGAGCAAACA
rnacentral:rRNA from 1 species